rnacentral:rRNA from 1 species
ACUCAAAGGAAUAGACGGGGGCCCGCACAAGCGGCGGAGCAUGUUGCUUAAUUCGAUGCAACGCGAAGAACCUUACCUGGGUUGAACUACGCAGGAAAAGCCACAGAGAUGUGGUGUCCGCAAGGGCCUGCGAUAGGUGGUGCAUGGCUGUCGUCAGCUCGUGUCGUGAGAUGUUGGGUUAAGUCCCGCAACGAGCGCAACCCUUGUCCUAUGUUGCCAGCGGGUAAUGCCGGGGACUCGUAGGAGACUGCCGGGGUCAACUCGGAGGAAGGUGGGGAUGACGUCAAGUCCGCAUGCCCCUUAUGUCCAGGGCUGCAAACAUGCUACAAUGGCCGGUACAAAGGGUCGCUAUCCCGCGAGGGGGAGCCAAUCCCAUAAAGCCGGUCUCAGUUCGGAUCGGAGUCUGCAACUCGACUCCGUGAAGUCGGAGUCGCUAGUAAUCCCGGAUCAGCAACGCCGGGGUGAAUACGUUCCCGGGCCUUGCACACACCGCCCGU